CAGAGGUCCCGAGCGUUGUUCGGAUUCACUGGGCGUAAAGGGUGCGUAGGUGGUGGGGUAAGUCGGAUGUGAAAUCUCCGGGCUCAACCCGGAAAAUGCAUUGGAAACUACCUUGCUAGAGGUUUUUGAGGGGGGGACUGGAAUUCUCGGUGUAGCAGUGAAAUGCGUAGAUAUCGAGAGGAACACCGGUGGCGAAGGCGAGUCCCUGGAAAACACCUGACACUGAGGCACGAAAGCUAGGGGAGCAAACAGGAUUAGAUACCCUGGUAGUCCUAGCCCUAAACGGUGCUUGCUUGCUGUAAGUGGAAUCGACCCCACUUGUGGCGGAGCUAACGCGUUAAGCAAGCCGCCUGGGAAGUACGGUCGCAAGAUUA
rnacentral:rRNA from 1 species